rnacentral:rRNA from 1 species
CCUACGGGCGGCAGCAGUGGGGGAUAUUGCACAAUGGGGGAAACCCUGAUGCAGCGACGCCGCGUGAGUGAAGAAGUAUUUCGGUAUGUAAAGCUCUAUCAGCAGGGAAGAAAAUGACAGUACCUGACCAAGAAGCCCCGGCUAACGACGGGCCAGCAGCCGCGGUAAUACGUAGGGGGCAAGCGUUAUCCGGAUUUACUGGGUGUAAAGGGAGCGUAGACGGUUUUGUUAGUCUGGAGUGAAAGCCCGGGGCCCAACCCCGGGACUGCUUUGGAAACUGUGUAACUGGAGUACAGGAGGGGCCGGCGGACUUCCUGGUGUAGCGGUGAAAUGCGUAGAUAUCAGGCGGAACACCGGCGGCGAAGGCGGCCUGCUGGACUGAAACUGACGUUGAGGCUC